rnacentral:rRNA from 1 species
AUUGAACGCUGGCGGCAUGCCUUACACAUGCAAGUCGAACGGUAACGGGCCUUCGGGUGCCGACGAGUGGCGAACGGGUGAGUAAUGUAUCGGAACGUACCUUUCAGUGGGGGAUAACGUAGCGAAAGUUACGCUAAUACCGCAUAUUCUGUGAGCAGGAAAGCAGGGGAUCGCAAGAACUUGCGCUGAUUGAGCGGCCGAUAUCGGAUUAGCUAGUUGGUUGGGUAAAGGCUCACCAAGGCGACGAUCUCGUAGCGGGUCUGAGAGGAUGAUCCGCCACACUGGAACUGAGACACGGUCCAGACUCCUACGGGAGGCAGCAGUGGGGAAUUUUGGACAAUGGGGGCAACCCUGAUCCAGCCAUGCCGCGUGAGUGAAGAAGGCCUUCGGGUUGUAAAGCUCUUUCGGCCGGGAAGAAAUCGUAUGGGUUAAUACCCUGUGCGGAUGACGGUACCGGCAUAAGAAGCACCGGCUAACUACGUGCCAGCCGCCGCAGUAACAC